GGAUGCGAUCAUACCAGCACUAAAGCACCGGAUCCCAUCAGAACUCCGAAGUUAAGUGUGCUUGGGCGAGAGUAGUACUAGGAUGGGUGACCUCCUGGGAAGUCCUCAUGUUGCAUUCCC
rnacentral:rRNA from 1 species